GGAGGGAUGUAGCAGAAGCUUGACCAAACGCGGGUGGCUGUAACCCACUUCCUCACGGUUCGGGGGUUCAGAAUCCCUCCCCCUCCACCA
rnacentral:tRNA from 1 species